CUGUAUGUGACCUCACCAUCUGCGUGGAAUGAACACAUUGCUCAUUAGUCUUUUACGAAGUCCAACCAUUGUGAGGAGGCUAAACUGACCAAGAAUAAAAGGAGUUUUUUUCCCUCUUUACUACGUGUACUAAAAAUGAUCUGAUGGACUGCAUGGUGGCCAUUUUAGUUUGACUCUUGAAAUGUACCAUCCCACAUUCAAUCCCACAAGACAUUUGAAAUUGUUGACCAACACCACACAUAGACACACAUUCAUGUACAAACAGACUAAGGGGAAAAUCUGACAUUCAGACAGGAUCUGUGGAAGACUGCUGGUUGUCAUCUCUGUAGCCAUGAAGAACGUUUUGGCUGUUGUUAUCAUCGCAGCUUUCGCACUGUGCGUCGAGAAUCUCCCCAUCUCAUCUGACUCCUCAGAGGAGGCAGUGGACCCUCUGGGAGCCGCCAUUAGCAGGCCUUUCUACGACCUCUGGGACCGCACUUUAGACAAGACGGCAGAAUCUCUGAGUAAAAAACUGCAGCAAUCUCUGGGAAUGAUGUUCAACAACCUGAGCUCCGCUUUUCUAUCUGUUAUUUUGGAACCAGUUCCCACUUCACCACCUCUCCUGUGAGGAUGCAAAACUGCAGAACUUGUUUGUUUUCCACAUGGACUUAAAAUAAAACCUGAUUCUGAAUGCGAC
ensembl:lncRNA